UACGAAGGGGGCUAGCGUUGCUCGGAAUCACUGGGCGUAAAGCGCACGUAGGCGGAUCUUUAAGUCAGAGGUGAAAUCCCAAGGCUCAACCUUGGAACUGCCUUUGAUACUGGGGAUCUUGAGUCCGGGAGAGGUGAGUGGAACUGCGAGUGUAGAGGUGAAAUUCGUAGAUAUUCGCAAGAACACCAGUGGCGAAGGCGGCUCACUGGCCCGGUACUGACGCUGAGACGCGAAGGCGUGGGGAGCGAACGGG
rnacentral:rRNA from 1 species